rnacentral:rRNA from 1 species
GGGCCCGCACAAGCAGUGGAGCAUGUGGUUUAAUUCGACGCAACCCGAAGAACCUUACCAGGUCUUGACAUUUAUGGAACGAGGUAGAGAUAUCUUGGUGCCCUUUCGGGGGAACCAUAAAACAGGUGGUGCAUGGUUGUCGUCAGCUCGUGUCGUGAGAUGUUGGGUUAAGUCCCGCAACGAGCGCAACCCUUGAUAAUAGUUGCCAGCAAGUAAGGUUGGGCACUCUAUUGUGACUGCCGUAGAUAAUACGGAGGAAGGUGGGGAUGACGUCAAAUCAUCAUGCCCUAUAUGACCUGGGCUACACACGUGCUACAAUGGGGUGAACAACGGGAAGCAAGCCAGCGAUGGUAAGCGGACCCCUAAAAACACCUCUCAGUUCAGAUUGCAGGCUGCAACCCGCCUGCAUGAAGUCGGAAUUGCUAGUAAUCGCGGAUCAGCAAGCCGCGGUGAAUACGUUCCCGGGCCUU